GGUCCUAAUUUGGUUCUUAGUAUGAAAUCACAACUAUACAGAGAAGACUAGCACAGCCCCUGUGCAAGGGUGACAUGCCAGUUCAUCAAUGUUCUACAUCUUU